CUUUGCUGGCUGAGUGAUCGUGUGUCAGGGAUCUCAUUCUUUAUGGAUGUCAGUCCAGCCACUUGCUUAAUUUGCAACAACGGAUGGAUGCCCGCCCUCCCAGUCUAUCCGGCCUGCAGCUGUGGGGCUCAGCUUCCAACGCGCUUCCCUCCGAGGCAACGUGCUGCCACGAAGGACUGAAAAAAUCCCACUGCUGUGCAUGCAAGGCAGAAAAACCGACAGCAACAGAAGAAGCCGCAUGUACAAGGAUGAGGGGAGAGCUGACCAACCAAGCAUGGGAAGGAGGAAGAUAAGAAGAACCCUACCCACUGAUGGGAGCAGAAACCAAAACAAACAUCCUUGGGAAACCACAGGUCAUUAUCUAGAUAUGCACAUCAAGACCCAGAGAUGAGAUGACAGCAAUCAGGGCAGCAUCAAAAGCGCCAACACCCAGCCCCCUGCCUCCUUCCACCCAACCUCGCUGCAGAGCACGAACUCUCGCUAGGACACACCCGACAUUCAGUACCGCACUGCAGGCAGGGGCAGGAGCUGAAUGUUGACAGCUUGUCUGCGGUAGGGAUGGCGUGUCUUACUCCCACAGAGACUCUAUCAGGAGAAAAAUACUGAAUAACUCCUACCUCAGUACAGUGAGGUUAAAUCCAAUUUAGUGGUUUUGCAAAAACUUGAGGCUGGCCAAUCGGAGUAAUGAAUACAAAUGGCAUUCCGGUUAUGUUUACUUUACCACAAUAAAAAAGGUUUUAAUUGGCAUUCCAAGGAGUUGGUUGAACUUAAAUGCUUAGCCAUUGAAAACCAAUGUUCUACCCCCAUACAUGCUGAUAGCUACAUUCUUCAAAAACCAACUUUUUUCCUUCUAACAAUAUUUAUGUAAUUGAGACAUGUAUUCCCUUUGAUUUGGGGAUCCCACUUCUAGAAAUGUGUCCUAGAGAUAUAUUCAUGCAUAAAGGCAAUGACGAUCUACAGAUAAGAAUGUCUACUCAAGCAACAUUUGCAA